rnacentral:rRNA from 1 species
AUCGAACGCUGGCGGCAUGCUUUACACAUGCAAGUCGAACGAUAACAGGGUGCUUGCACCGCUGACGAGUGGCGAACGGGUGAGUAAUGCGUCGGAACGUGCCGAGUAGUGGGGGAUAACGCAGCGAAAGUUGUGCUAAUACCGCAUACGUACUGAGGUAGAAAGUGGGGGACCUUCGGGCCUCACGCUAUUCGAGCGGCCGACGUCUGAUUAGCUAGUAGGUGAGGUAAAGGCUCACCUAGGCGACGAGCAGUAGCGGGUCUGAGAGGAUGAUCCGCCACACUGGGACUGAGACACGGCCCAGACUCCUACGGGAGGCAGCAGUGGGGAAUUUUGGACAAUGGGCGAAAGCCUGAUCCAGCCAUGCCGCGUGUCUGAAGAAGGCCUUCGGGUUGUAAAGCUCUUUUGUCAGGGAAGAAACAGCAGCUCUAACACAGUUUGCGAAUGACGGUACCUGAAGAAUAAGCACCGGCUAACUACGUGCCAGCAGCCGCGGUAA